GGAAUUUUCCGCAAUGGGCGAAAGCCUGACGGAGCAACGCCGCGUGAGGGAUGAAGGCCUCUGGGCUGUAAACCUCUUUUCUCAAGGAAGAAGAACUGACGGUACUUGAGGAAUAAGCCACGGCUAAUUCCGUGCCAGCAGCCGCGGUAAUACGGGAGUGGCAAGCGUUAUCCGGAAUUAUUGGGCGUAAAGCGUCCGCAGGCGGCCUCGUAAGUCUGUCGUUAAAGCGUGGAGCUUAACUCCAUUUGAGCGAUGGAAACUGUGAGGCUUGAGUGUGGUAGGGGCAGAGGGAAUUCCCGGUGUAGCGGUGAAAUGCGUAGAUAUCAGGAAGAACACCAGUGGCGAAGGCGCUCUGCUGGGCCAUAACUGACGCUCAUGGACGAAAGCCAGGGGAGCGAAAGGGAUUAGAUACCCCUGUAGUCCUGGCCGUAAACGAUGAACACUAGGUGUCGGGGGAAUCGACCCCCUCGGUGUCGUAGCCAACGCGUUAAGUGUUCCGCCUGGGGAGUACGCACGCAAGUGUGAAACUCAAAUGAAUUGACGG
rnacentral:rRNA from 1 species